AACGAACGCUGGCGGCAUGCCUAACACAUGCAAGUCGAACGAGACCUUCGGGUCUAGUGGCGCACGGGUGCGUAACGCGUGGGAAUCUGCCCUUGGGUUCGGAAUAACAGUUGGAAACGACUGCCAAUACCGGAUGAUGACGUAAGUCCAAAGAUUUAUCGCCCAAGGAUGAGCCCGCGUAGGAUUAGCUAGUUGGUGAGGUAAAGGCUCACCAAGGCGACGAUCCUUAGCUGGUCUGAGAGGAUGAUCAGCCACACUGGGACUGAGACACGGCCCAGACUCCUACGGGAGGCAGCAGUGGGGAAUAUUGGACAAUGGGCGAAAGCCUGAUCCAGCAAUGCCGCGUGAGUGAUGAAGGCCUUAGGGUUGUAAAGCUCUUUUACCCGGGAUGAUAAUGACAGUACCGGGAGAAUAAGCUCCGGCUAACUCCGUG
rnacentral:rRNA from 1 species